rnacentral:lncRNA from 1 species
GCCUUCAAGCUAGUCUCUCCAGUCUCCUUCGUGAGUUCAGAUCCUCUCAAGUCCAUGGCUGGAGAGGUUCAAUCAAUCACAGCCAACCGUGUAUUGUGUAAUGGCCAUGAUUAAGCAAGAGCCACCAGCUGUGAUAUCAAUGUGCUGCAUGGGCUUUACUUAAUCAUGGCUAUUGCACCCAGACACUUGUGAUUGAUACAGACUAGC